rfam:Stegodyphus mimosarum contig124557, whole genome shotgun sequence.
ACAAAGGCCUUUUUUAAUGCCACAUAAACCUAAUAAAAAAGGAAAU